ACCAAUGAUUAGGUCCAGCUGAAAGCCAAGAUCUAUUACUUGUCUUGUUGUGGGGUCAUAUACUACCAACUGUGAAGUUUCUGCGAUUUGGAAAAUCAUCUUAUCCUCCUCCCAGACGUUGCGAGGCUUAUGAGCACCUAUUUGAGGUUGAACACUAAGAACUUUGGUCCAACUACCCUCUAGAUUCAUUUCCCACACAUCAUAUACGGAUGUCAUUUGUCGACCAAAACCACCA
rnacentral:misc_RNA from 1 species